UGCCACUUGGACUUGUGUUAGAUCAGUUUUUGAAUUUCUGUCUUUCUCUUCAUUCAGACACAGAGUGAGACAGGGGGAGGAUAUCAAACUCAUAUAAGUUCAUGGUCAUGAAGACCAAUGCUGAUCUCAGAUCCCGUGGACCCGUCCCUGUUUUCCCGGUGAAGAUCCUUAGUUGUGGAUGACUGGAGAGUGGCUGGUAGAGAGCAGUGAGUGGGCGAAGAAGCGCAAGUGUUUUCCCUUGUCCUCCCCACCUUGGAUUCCCUGGAGCCCGGACCCCUGUCACACUUGUAUAUAGCAAAAUUCCCUGCACUGUCUGUAAAUACACCUGUGAAUGUGAAAUAAACCUCACUGUGUCUUCUG